CACGACGCAACUUGCCCGAGACCAGGAGGGUAGGAGGAGCCAUAGCAGAAGCCGUUGGGGAUCAAUCGAUGGCGAUCGGAGAUGCUGCUGCUCCGGCAGCUGGCGGGGUGGAGUACGGCGGCCGCCUUACGCCGUACUUGUUGCUGUCUUGCGUCGUUGCCUGCUGUGGCGGCUUCCUCUUCGGCUACGACCUCGGCAUCUCCGGUGGUGUUACCUCAAUGAAUUCAUUCCUGAAGAGGUUCUUCCCGGAGGUGUACCGCCAGAAGCAGGACAGCAAAGUGAGUCACUUCUGCCAGUUCAACAGCGAGCUCCUCACCCUGUUCACAUCGUCCCUGUACAUAGCUGGCCUUGUGGCUACUCUGGUUGCAUCAUCCAUCACAAGGAGGUAUGGACGCCGAGCAUCCAUUCUGAUCGGCGGCACCUUCUUCAUCACAGGAUCAGUGUUUGGUGGUGCAGCUGUCAAUAUUCCCAUGCUGCUCUUCAACCGAAUUUUACUGGGAAUAGGUCUGGGAUUCACUAACCAGUCAAUCCCAUUGUACCUGUCAGAAAUGGCGCCACCUCAAUAUCGUGGAGCAAUCAACAAUGGCUUUGAACUUUGCCUCAGCCUUGGAAUUCUCGGUGCAAACAUCCUCAACUAUUUUGUUGUGAAAAUUAAAGCGGGGUAGGGGUGGAGGAUAUCUCUGUCCAUGGCUGCGCUCCCUGCUGCAAUCCUAACCAUGGGUGCAAUCUUCCUCCCUGAGACACCAAGCUUCAUAAUACAGCGUGAUGGCAACACCGACAAGGUUCAGGUAAUAAGGAUCCUAUCCGAUGAUGUACAACUCCAUUGAUACGGAAAACGUAGGGUCCGUCUCCAGUAUUGAUGCUUUCUGUCAAUGUGAACCCCCAUGGAAGUGAAAGCAAAAAGAGAGUUGCAUUGUCUUAUAUGGUGCAUGAACUAUUUGCUUUUGGCCCACCGUCAAAUCUAAUAAGUUGCUGAAGUAACGGGAAGGCAAUAUAAUGAUACCUUGCCACCACGACAGCAAACAUUGUAGACAAUCCAUUUGUGUGCCUAUGAACUAAGAUAGAUGACACGUACUUGGUACCAGAAUAUAGCUCCACAUUUGUCACAUUGGUAAUCAGGCCCUCCAUAAUAUGAAUUGUCUUUG